rnacentral:rRNA from 1 species
AUUCCAGCUCCAAUAGCGUAUAUUAAAGUUGUUGCAGUUAAAAAGCUCGUAGUUGGAUUUCUGGUUUGAUGCCCUGGCCCGCUGCUAUUUUGGUAGUGUGUGCCGGUUGUGCGUCUGCCAUCCUUCUAGGGAACGUUCCUUCUCUUCACUGAGCCGGGUUCGUGAUCUAGAUCGUUUACUUUGAAAAAAUUAGAGUGUUUAAAGCAGGCUUUUGCUAUGAAUACAUUAGCAUGGAAUAAUAAUCUAGGACUUCGGUGCUAUUUUGUUGGUUUGCACACCAAGGUAAUGAUUGACAGGGACAGUUGGGGGUAUUCGUAUUUAAUUGUCAGAGGUGAAAUUCUUGGAUUUAUGAAAGACGAACUACUGCGAAAGCAUUUACCAAGGAUGUUUUCAUUA